rnacentral:lncRNA from 1 species
GCUUCUUUAAGCUAUUUUUUCCAGCUGUCCGGAUUAGUUUUUCUCCGCUUGUAGGUGACGUAGCGGACAACCUUGCUUGUGAGACCCAGGCAGUUUAUCUUAUCUAUUUUAUCCAUCUGAUAAUUAGUAUUUCUCCGCUUGUAGGUGACAUAGUGAACAACCUUGUUUGUCAGACCCAAGCAGCUUGUCUUAUCUAUUUUAUCCAUCUGAUAAUUAGUAUUUCUCCGCUUGUAGGUGACAUAGUGAACAACCUUGUUUGUCAGACCCACGCAGCUUGUCUUAUCUAUUUUAUCCAUCUCACAAUUGGUUUUUCUCCGCUUGUAGGUGACAUGGUGAACAACCUUGUUUGUCAGACCCAGGCAGCUUGUCUUACCUAUUUCAACCAUCUCACAGUGAAGCUUUCUCCGCUUGUAGGUGACAUAGUGAACAACCUUGUUUGUCAGACCCAGGCAGCUUGUCUUACCUAUUUCAUCCAUCUCACAAUUAAGCUUUCUCCGCUUGUAGGUGACAUAGUGAACAACCUUGUUUGUGAGACCCAGGCUUCGUGUCUUACGUAUUCCAUUCAACGUACAACUAGUUUUUCUCCGCUUGUAGGUGACACAGUGAACAAUCUUGUUUUUAAGACCCAGGCAGUAAGUCUUACCUAUUUCAUCCAUCUCACAAUUGACAGCAUAAGUUUCAGACUCUCCAUCUACUGAUUUAUACUGCUGCUCACAUAUAUCAAAAGCUUUCCCUUUAAGCUUCUUGCCUUUUAAAACAUCACUUUCAUUUUCAACCAUGUUUUUCCCUAGAUCACUUCCAUAAUUCCUCAACCUCUUCUCUUGGUCAUUAUUUUCCUCUUCAGAUGACAAGUCAACUAAAUUGCUUGAUUCCUCACCAUUCAUUUCGUGUUUCCUCUUUUGGAGUAAUUCUAUUAGAUCCAUAAGCUCUCUGUUGACCUGGAGCAAAAAAU